rnacentral:rRNA from 1 species
UACGGAGGGUGCAAGCGUUACUCGGAAUCACUGGGCGUAAAGAGCGCGUAGGCGGGAUAGCAAGUCAGAUGUGAAAUCCUAUGGCUUAACCAUAGAACUGCAUUUGAAACUGUUAUUCUAGAGUAUGGGAGAGGUAGGUGGAAUUCUUGGUGUAGGGGUAAAAUCCGUAGAUAUCUGGAGGAACAUCAGUGGCGAAGGCGGCCACCUGGACCGGUAUUGACGCUGAGGCGCGAAAGCGUGGGGAGCAAACAGG